GAAGAAGGAGGGCGUCAGUUCGUUAGCGCUUCUGUGUGAACCCUGGAUCCCAAGCCCGAGACCACUCCUCAAAACCCACAGAACUCUGGACACUCGUCUGAGACCUUCCCAACCUGCCUCCUGGAAUUCACGGAGCCUCGGAUCCUUUCUCUGCUUAAGCCCUCCUGCCUGAGCUCACCUGCCUGUCCACCCUCUGACACCACCACUGGAGAUCGCCAACCGGACCUGCAUCUUCCGCCUGAAGCCAACAGAAAGAAGGUAGAGGCUCAUAAAACAGGAGGAGGACCUGCACCACCACUCCUGACAAAUGCAGAAGAGAUGGCCAGUCACUCCAGAAGAUUUAAGUGCCUUCA